rnacentral:lncRNA from 1 species
UCGGGAAUGCUGAGAUUGCCCUGAAUUCGACAGCGGAAUUCAGUUUUACCUUAUUAUCUACCGCCAUUGAUUUACUGAAAUUCAAAUUACAACCCAUACAAAUCAAUAUCUUCUAGUGAUCCAAUAUUAAAAACGAGAAUAGUAACUUUAAUAAUAUUCUCAAUUGUUUUUACAAACGUACACGGUCGGUUAUAACUGCUGUUUUGAAAGUCUGAGUCAUAUUCCUCUGUUUCCUAAUUAUCAUUUUCCGCAUUUCAAAACGUAUCUUUUAGUUUUGUAUAUAUACUUAGUUAUGUUGCUUGAAGAAAUUUUGUCUUUCCUUAUCAAAUUUGUGGUUAUUUCCGCAUUCACCAUUGCGUUUCUUCUGAUUUUGCCAACGUUGAGUGCUAUUGUCUUGGACAUUGUGGUAUGCGGAUACCUUGCUUUGUACCGACUUUAUGAAAUUGGAGGCGGUUGCAUCCAAAAGCCUUCAAAAGCCGUUCACCCAAAGUCCUCUUAAUUCCGUUACAGUCUUAGCUGGCUUUCGAGUUUUGAUUCUUUUUUUAAUAGAUUGUCCUUCUGUUUUUUGUUUUUAAAACAUAUAAGUUGUUUUCUCCUCUUAAUAUCCUCAGAACGUUUCUUUGCUUUGAUAUAUUUGGCCGUCCAGUUUAUUUUUUUUCCUUUUUCUGCCGCCAAUUAAAAAAUUUAUAAAAGAAUGCUUAAGUAAAGCUGACCAUCCAACUGGUUAUUAUUUUUCACUUGCUUGUAUACUCUUGCUAAUAUGUUUUGUGCUUUUUUCCCUAUCCUUUCUCCCUUAUUAAUUUUAUAAAUACGCAACAAAAAAAUGGUUCUCCAAAAUACAUAAUUUAAUAUUUCACAUUCAUACUGAUUGUGAAUUCAAUAAUCAGAAAUAAAUAAUUCGUUAAAAUAAAACAAAAAAGAAGAAAACUACUGCUGUUUUUGGUGAUUUCGUGUUCCUUUUUUCCUACAGUACUAUUACAUUUCUCUGUUUUCGCUAAGAAGCUUUUGUUUAUGAGUCGUUAUCAUUACGUUUUCAUUUCAUUAGUUUCUACCUCAAUUAUUAGAAAAAUGUUCAGACAUCCAUCUCUCCCCCAACUUUAUUGCAUAGUCUCGCUCAAGAAAUUUCCGCCGUUCUUCAAGUUUUUUGUCUCGUAAGGUUAACACAUCUUCUGUGUUUUUUCUCUGCUGUUGUGUAACCUUAGCAUGAAUCUCCUUUAAAGAUAGAAGUUGCUCUUCUCUUUCUUUUUCGUCAAAAGAAAACUGGUAAAAUGCCGUACCUUUAUUCCUUACUUCCUUAGUCGAGUCAUAAUGAACUGCUUGCUGCUCAUCUUCCUUCCACAAUUUUUGAACCUUUUCUUCGUCUACUUCGAAGGAUGGCAUAUAGUCACCGUAUAUUGGCUUUUCGGGCUUGUACUCCUCCUUUUGUGAAAGUAGGGUAUUACCGGUCUCGUAAAUAGAGACACUCCUGGUUCGCCCAAAUUCAUCCGUUAUUUCAACUGUUUCAUUUUCGGGUGCUUCCUCAGCCCAUUUGCGUGUGAAGUCGACAAGGAUUCCAUCAUCUUCUGUCUCCUUUAUUUCCAGUUCUCCGGCAGCAUACUGGUCGUAUUUUUUAGCUUUUCGUUCCAGUUCCAGACGACUUCUUUGCAACAGCUCUUCCUCAUUAGCUUGUUCAGUUUUUAAAGUUCCUUUUCUUUCCUCGUCCUUUCUUUUUUUGAUAAUAUUACUUUGAAAUUCCUUGUUGGAUUUUCUUUUUUGUUUUACCAGUAAUUUCCUUUUGGUCGUCUCGUUAUCAUUGGCUUCCAAUAAUUUAUCGGUAUACUUUUGAUGGCUAAUCUUGCGCUUCUCGUCCUCGUAUCGCUUUUUUUCCUCAAUUAGUUCAUUAAGGAAGUUAAGAUUGCUUUUAGCUGAGACUUGAAUUUCGGAUUUCUUUCCAACAUUCAUCUACUCGAUACUUCAAUUUUUUUAAUUAAUUUAAUAAUUAUUUUCAAUUCUUUUAAA